GUGAAUGCUGCCAGCCGAAGGUGAACCUGAGUUCCCAUGAAACUGCCCUCCAUGGCUGAAACAAGAGGAGAAUUCGUGAGAGGUGAUGUGAUUGCUCUGGUGAAAUCUGCUGCAUAGCCCAGGAGUGGAGCAAACCAGCUUCAGGUAGCAUGUGACUACUGGAGAGUUAGGAUGAAUCCGUGCUUUGUUCUCCAACCCAAACAUCUCACAACAAAUAGCAACCUAGUAUGCUGUGGAGAGAGCUUGGUAGAGAGACACUGCUCAAGAAAUCAGUUAUUUCAGUGGUGAAUUUCAGACAGCCUAAGACUCCUCUUUGAGAUGUGGUCUGUGUAUGUAUCAAUACCCCA
rnacentral:lncRNA from 1 species